rnacentral:rRNA from 1 species
UACGUAGGGUGCGAGCGUUAAUCGGAAUUACUGGGCGUAAAGUGUGCGCAGGCGGCCGAGCAAGUCGAGUGUGAAAGCCCCGAGCUUAACUUGGGAACUGCGCUCGAAGCUACUUGGCUAGAGUGUGGCAGAGGGAGGUGGAAUUCCACGUGUAGCGGUGAAAUGCGUAGAGAUCCGGAGGAACACCAGAGGCGAAGGCGGCCUACUGGGCCAGUACUGACGCUGAGCCGCGAAAGCCAGGGGAGCGAACGGG